UGGCCUUGACAUCCCGGGAACCUCCCGGAGACGGGAGGGUGCCUACUUUGUAGGAACCCGGUGACAGGUGCUGCACGGCUGUCGUCAGCUCGUGUCGUGAGAUGUUGGGUUAAGUCCCGCAACGAGCGCAACCCUCGUCCUUAGUUACUAACGGUUCGGCCGAGGACUCUAAGGAGACUGCCCGGGCAACCGGGAGGAAGGUGAGGACGACGUCAAGUCAUCAUGGCCCUUACGGCCAGGGCUACACACGUGCUACAAUGGCGUGUACAGUGAGAAGCGAUACCGCGAGGUGGAGCAAAUCUACAAAACACGUCCCAGUUCGGAUUGCAGUCUGCAACUCGACUGCAUGAAGCCGGAAUCACUAGUAAUCGUGGAUCAGCAAUGCCACGGUGAAUACGUUCCCGGGUCU
rnacentral:rRNA from 1 species